GACGCUGCACCACGGCACGCAGUCACUGCAGAAGGCGCCUACUAAAACUCAAAUCCUGCUCGGGCUAUGGCGAAUUGCUGCUCCCAUGCUCUGCUACGUAGGGCAACGAUGCUCCUUCCGCUUGGGACAGGACAUGGACCUACUACGCAACCAUACAUAAGAACUACCAAACAACCACAAAAAAAAGACAUUACUCUCGAUCUUUCCAGCCUCGGAACACCCUGUAGGGCAACAAUGAGUGGGCACCAAGACCCCUCACGGACCUGCUACAUCUGCCCCUUCGCUGCACCUACUCUGCUGGCUACCAACCUACACCGUGCUGUAAGAAGGAUGCACCUGCGGCAA